rnacentral:rRNA from 1 species
AUUGAACGCUGGCGGCAUGCCUUACACAUGCAAGUCGAACGGCGGCACGGGUGCUUGCACCUGGUGGCGAGUGGCGAACGGGUGAGUAAUACAUCGGAACGUACCUUAUCGUGGGGGAUAACGCAGCGAAAGCUGUGCUAAUACCGCAUACGCCCUGAGGGGGAAAGCGGGGGACCGUAAGGCCUCGCGCGAUUAGAGCGGCCGAUGUCUGAUUAGCUUGUUGGUGAGGUAAAAGCUCACCAAGGCGAUGAUCAGUAGCUGGUCUGAGAGGACGAUCAGCCACACUGGGACUGAGACACGGCCCAGACUCCUACGGGAGGCAGCAGUGGGGAAUUUUGGACAAUGGGGGCAACUCUGAUCCAGCAAUGCCGCGUGAGUGAAGAAGGCCUUCGGGUUGUAAAGCUCUUUUGUCAGGGAAGAAACAGCAGCUCUAACACAGUCUGCGAAUGACGGUACCUGAAGAAUAAGCACCGGCUAACUACGUGCCAGCCGCCGCCGUAA